CAAAAUGCUGCCAAGCAACAUCGUCUAGAUCUUAAAGUAUAAGAUCAAGCCGAAGUUGGUUUGCUGCACUUUGUUGGGAGAUAGAUUAGUUUCCUCUUUUAGUUUGGCAGCCUCUUCUCUUAUUUCCUCAAACUUUCCUCUUACUUCCCUCUGUUCCUCUCUUAUAUAUGCUCUUUUUUCCCUCGCUAAUCUUCCCCAUCAUUUUGUUUUUAAGUUAAUAUAAGCCAUUGAAUAUUGAAGAAUUGCACUUGAGGUGCAUACCAGGCUCUUUCUUGAGUUGCUCCACCAUGUUCCUUUCAUCAGACAAUUUAUUAGAACUCUUGAAGGGCAAGGUUUAUUUCCCUGCAGCCCUGUCAUCUUAGUAUUGAAGCUGAGUUCCAUCCUUCAUAGAUCAUCACUAGUUAAUCAGGAACUCGGAUAUUCUUUCUUUGAAGUCAAAAUAAUCUAAGAACAGUAGGGGAGUGUUUGUUAUUCUUGUGGGACAAACGGGAAAGAUGCAAAGGACAAUUUUUUUUUUCUGUGAAAACAAUAUUUCUUUUUUGUUUUUUUGUCGGUUUACGUCGCAUGUGCAAGAAAAAAGAGAAUUGAUUCUGGCAAACAACACUGCAGCGGUGCAGUUCCUGUGA